rnacentral:rRNA from 1 species
GUCCACGCCGUAAACGAUGGACACUAGGCGUCGGGGGGAGCGACCCUCCCGGUGCCGUCGCUAACGCAGUAAGUGUCCCGCCUGGGGAGUACGGCCGCAAGGCUGAAACUCAAAGGAAUUGACGGGGGCCCGCACAAGCGGUGGAGCAUGUGGUUCAAUUCGAAGCAACGCGAAGAACCUUACCUGGGCUUGACAUGCACGGGAAAGCCGGUGGAAACAUCGGUCCCUCUUCGGAGUCCGUGCACAGGUGCUGCAUGGCUGUCGU